CCUACGGGUGGCAGCAGUGAGGAAUAUUGGUCAAUGGACGAGAGUCUGAACCAGCCAAGUAGCGUGAAGGAUGACUGCCCUAUGGGUUGUAAACUUCUUUUAUAUGGGAAUAAAAUGUUCCACGUGUGGGAUUUUGUAUGUACCAUAUGAAUAAGGAUCGGCUAACUCCGUGCCAGCAGCCGCGGUAAUACGGAAGGUCCGGGCGUUAUCCGGAUUUAUUGGGUUUAAAGGGAGCGUAGGCCGGCUUUUAAGUCAGCUGUGAAAGUCCGCGGCUCAACCGUGGAAUUGCAGUUGAAACUGGAGGCCUUGAGUGCACACAGGGAUGCCGGAAUUCAUGGUGUAGCGGUGAAAUGCUUAGAUAUCAUGAAGAACUCCGAUCGCGAAGGCAGCUUACCAAGCUACUUCUGACGUUGAGGCACGAAAGCGUGGGGAGCAAACAGGAUUAGAUACCCUUGUAGUC
rnacentral:rRNA from 1 species